AUGGAUGGGAGCCGAAUCUUAAUAUUUUUUCAAACGAAAAAGUAAUGUGAUACGGUCACUCGGCAACUUAGAAUGGAAGGAUGGCCAGCAUUGUCUAUACAUGGUGAUAAAGCUCAGUCUGAAACGGACUAUGUUCUGGCAGAGUUUAAGAAUGGGAAGAGUCCUAAUGGCUGCCACAGAUGUAGCGGCACGUCGUCUUGGUAUGGUGACUUGUUUGAAUAUUAG
rnacentral:rRNA from 1 species